rnacentral:rRNA from 1 species
GUCCUAUGGAUUGUAAACGGCUUUUAAUUGGGAAGAAUCGGUGGGUUUCGACCUGCCCUGACGGUACCGAUUGAAUAAGCACCGGCUAACUCCGUGCCAGCAGCCGCGGUAAUACGGAGGGUGCAAGCGUUGUCCGGAAUCAUUGGGUGUAAAGGGUGCGCAGGCGGGCCUGUAAGUCGGAGGUGAAAUCUUGCCGCUUAACGGUAAAAUGGCCUUCGAUACUGCAGGUCUUGAAUCUAGUAGAGGUCGGUGGAAUUCGUGGUGUAGCGGUGAAAUGCAUAGAUAUCACGAAGAACAUCAGUGGCGAAGGCGGCCGACUGGGCUAGUAUUGACGCUGAGGCACGAGAGCGUGGGGAGCGAACAGGAUUAGAUACCCUGGUAGUCCACGCUGUAAACGAUGUGUGCUAGUUGUGGGCCCUUCGGGGUCUGUGACGCAGUUAACGCAGUAAGCACACCACCUGGGGAGUACGUUCGCAAGAAUGAAACUCAAAGG